GAUGAGCGCUGGCGGCGUGCCUAAUACAUGCAAGUCGAGCGAACGGACGAGAAGCUUGCUUCUCUGAUGUUAGCGGCGGACGGGUGAGUAACACGUGGAUGACCUACCUAUAAGACUGGGAUAACUUCGGGAAACCGGAGCUAAUACCGGAUAAUAUUUUGAACCGCAUGGUUCAAAAGUGAAAGACGGUCUUGCUGUCACUUAUAGAUGGAUCCGCGCUGCAUUAGCUAGUUGGUAAGGUAACGGCUUACCAAGGCAACGAUGCAUAGCCGACCUGAGAGGGUGAUCGGCCACACUGGAACUGAGACACGGUCCAGACUCCUACGGGAGGCAGCAGUAGGGAAUCUUCCGCAAUGGGCGAAAGCCUGACGGAGCAACGCCGCGUGAGUGAUGAAGGUCUUCGGAUCGUAAAACUCUGUUAUUAGGGAAGAACAUAUGUGUAAGUAACUGUGCACAUCUUGACGGUACCUAAUCAGAAAGCCACGGCUAACUACGUG
rnacentral:rRNA from 1 species